AUUGAACGCUGGCGGCAGGCUUAACACAUGCAAGUCGAACGAGCGGCGGACGGGUGAGUAAUGUCUGGGAAACUGCCUGAUGGAGGGGGAUAACUACUGGAAACGGUAGCUAAUACCGCAUACUAUCGGAUUAGCCCAGAUGGGAUUAGCGAGUAGGUGGGGUAAAGGCUCACCUAGGCGACGAUCCCUAGCUGGUCUGGGAGGAUGACCAGCAACACUGGAACUGGGACACGGGCCAGAUUCCAACGGGAGGCGACAGUGGGGAAUAUUGCACAUGGGGGGCAAGCCGGAGGCAGACAUGCCGGGUGUAUGAAGAAGGCCUUCGGGUGGUAAAGUCCUUUCAGCGUGGAGGCGGUACCCGCAGAAGAAGCACCGGCUAACUCCGUGCCAGCAGCCGCGGUAAUUC
rnacentral:rRNA from 1 species